GGAUUAGAUACCCUGGUAGUCCUGGCCGUAAACGAUGGGUACUAGGUGUAGGAGGUAUCGACCCCUUCUGUGCCGGAGUUAACGCAAUAAGUACCCCGCCUGGGGAGUACGACCGCAAGGUUGAAACUCAAAGGAAUUGACGGGGGCCCGCACAAGCGGUGGAGUAUGUGGUUUAAUUCGACGCAACGCGAAGAACCUUACCAGGUCUUGACAUUGAUGGACAGAACCAGAGAUGGUUCCUCUUCUUCGGAAGCCAGAAAACAGGUGGUGCACGGUUGUCGUCAGCUCGUGUCGUGAGAUGUUGGGUUAAGUCCCGCAACGAGCGCAACCCCUAUCUUAUGUUGCCAGCACUUUGGGUGGGAACUCAUGAGAGACUGCCGCAGACAAUGCGGAG
rnacentral:rRNA from 1 species